rnacentral:lncRNA from 10 species
ACAGCUCCAGCUCCUGGCUAUGUAGCCAUGCAUUCGUAUGUAACCUCUCUGAGCCUGUUUCUUCACCUCUGAAACAGGAUGAUAAAAACAGUACCCACCUGUGAGGGUGAAACAGGAUGAUAAAAACAGUACCCACCUGUGAGGGAGGUGAGACAAAUGAAUACGGGUAAAGUACCAGCAACAGUGCUUGGCACACGAUAAGUGCUGCACAGAGGCAUUUACUGUUAUUAUAAUCACCAUCAUAGCCAUCUCCCUGGGCCCAGGCUGCUUGUAGUCGAAGUUCACCACCUUUGCAAGGGUAAUGGCAGGCAGCCUCAGCACCAGGACCCAGCAGUCGGGCUGUAUUUGCAGAAGUCCGCAGGUGGGGAGCUGGAGGAAUCACUUUAGGUCCUUAGUAGAGAUAGGCCUGGCCCUGGCUACCUCCUGACCUCACCGAAUCGGCCUAGUCCGAGGGUUCAGAACACCACUUCCGCUCCGCGCUGGGUCCCUUCCCACCCUGGCACGGUUCCCUGCCACCUUCCGGGGAUUGGCUUUGGACUGGAGACUCUGGACGGAUAAGCCACCAGGACUGCAAGACGGGGAUUCUGGGCUGGCGCGCAGCUGUCUGGACUCUGGGCUCUUGGACGAAGGGGUGGGGAACCAAGCCAGGACCCAGGACAUCAAUGCCUCCGCCAAAUCGAGCAGCUGCCAGUCUGGCGUCGCUUCAGUCCUAAGAUGCGCCACCCCUAGAACCCUCCCCGGCCUCCUCCGCCCUGCUAGGCCCCACCCUUGAGGAGCCUCUGCUCAGAUUUACCUCUGAGUCCUCCCCUGAACCCUGCCUUCAGCCUUUCUGGGCAGCCGCGCGGCGGCGGCGCGCCCAGUCCUUGUGUCCGAAGACUCGGAGUAAAGCGGGUUCAGCCAGAGAGCGGCCCUGCGUCCGCCCUCCUCUCGAACCCGGGUCUGCGCACGUCGAGCCCCCUCUCUGCGUUGAGGGUGGCCCCGACCAGCACGCCUCGGGCCCAAUCCACCCACCCUCCGGGACAAACGCGCCUUCCCCCAGGCUCCUACGGCCGCGCCCUCGCUCCUGCGCAUCCUUAGACCCGGCGCCCCUGCCGUCCCAGCUCCCAGUUCGCAAACGUGCGCCCGGGUUCCCCCUCUGGAAGCGGCCAGGUGUGGCGUUUAGCUCUUUGCCACGGGUGCGGGUGCGACCAACCCCCAAGCAGGCUCAAACGCGCCCUUUCCCGGGUCAGGCCGGGCGGGGCCGGUUACGCGCGCGCCCCCUGCCGUAGUCGUCCUCGCCCCCAAAUUUGGAUGUGUCCCCAGGCAUCUGCCUCCUCACCGGGCCAGCAUGCCCUCUCGCCCCCAAGUAGGACUCAGCCCGGCUUCUCGCAGUCCUCUCGCUAGGGCGAGGGUCUUUUCCUCCGAGGUCCCCCAACCCUCUGGUCCCCGCGCAGGAACGCCCACCCCCGUUGUGCCCGCGUCUGCGUUCCCGACGUUUCCCUGAACAGGAAACACCUGACCAGGGCCUGAAUAGGCCCCCUCGCCCUCGGCCCGUACACCCCGCGGCCCGCUACCCCAUCCCGCCGCGCCCAGGCCGACGCCGCUCGCCCCUGACCCGGAUCAGCGAGUCCAGCGCCGGGCGGUCCAGACACGUGAAGUUCUGCAACAGCUCCCACUUGUCGCGCUGGAAGCUGCGGCUGGAGUCCUGCGCCGCGCGGCCCUCCAGCGUCCAGAACACGCCGGUGCCCAGCGCCAGAAGCCUGAGCAGAGGAGACAGCUGACUUUGGGAACAGAGAACAAAGGAGCUGAAGAUCUGGAAGAGACAGAGAGCAAGCUCUGCCAAGAGGGACAGGAGCACCUGGGCCGCCCACCCACUUGGGCCUGUCUUGGUGUUUCUGAUGCUGCCCCUUGAGGCUUUCUCGAGAAGGAAUCAGAGGCUGGGCACAUGUGACUGACAGGCAGGCCAGUCCUGUGGCUUCAGGAAUAUGCAGGAAACUCCCUACUCCCCUCCCACCUCACUGUGUGCUCCCCACAAGUGUUGGUGACCUGCUGCCCAGGAGGAGCCACCGAGGGAGGUGCACUUACAUUGCUUCUGCAGAAUGCUCUGUCUGGCCUUGAUGAAGGCGAUGAUGUCCGAGUCCGUCUGGCUGUCUCCGGUGACUGAUCUCACUCAGAAAGCUACAUGACACGGCUGGCCUGCUUCUCACUCCCUCCUACCUUCUCUGUGUGGCAGCCACACUAAGCCUCUUGUCAUGCAAAUUGGGUCAAGUCAUUCCCUGCCAUAGACCCUGAUAUGGUUUGGCUGUGUCCUCACCCAAAUCUCAUCUUGAACUGUAGCUCCCAUAAUUUCCACGUGUUGUGGGAGGGACCAGGUGGGAGAUAACUGAAUCAUGGGGACGGUUUCCUCCAUACUGUUCUCGUGGUAGUGAAUAAGUCUCAUGAGAUCUGAUGUUUUCAUACGAGGUUUCCCCUCUCACUUGGCUUUCAUUCUGUCUUGGCUGCCACCAUGUAAGACGUGCCUUUCACCAUGAUUGUGAGGCCUCCCCAGUGACAUGAACUGUGAGUCCAUUAAAUCUCUUUUUCUUUAUAAAUUACCCAGUCUCAGGUAUGUCUUUAUCAGAAGUGUGAAAACAGACUAAUACAGACCCUUUAGUGGCUUUUCACCACUCAUGGAAUAAAACUUAAACUCUGUCCCAUGACCUACCAGGCUGUGUAUGAUAUGACCCCGG